GUCUAUGGCCACACCACGCUGAAAGUACCCCAUCUCAUCUGAUCUCGGAGGCUAAGCAGGGUCAGGCCUGGUUAGUACUUGGAUGGGAGAUGCUGCAGUCAACAAUA
rfam:Ovis aries breed Texel chromosome 1, whole genome shotgun sequence.